rnacentral:piRNA from 1 species
UGGAAUACAAUGAGUGUACACUAGGGA